rnacentral:snRNA from 1 species
UGUCCGGGCAGCUUGUGG